rnacentral:lncRNA from 1 species
UUUUUGGAGCUAUAUUAUAUACUAUUUGGGCUCUAAAAUCCAUCAAUAAGUGGCAGCAACAUCUCGAUAUUAGGAGUCAUUAGUUAUUCUGGUGGACUUCUUCUUGGGUGGGCCUCAGCUUACGAAAUUAUUGGCAAUCAUAGGAUUUUGGGGCAGCCACCAAAUCGGCCCAACACCAAGAAACACAUGCGAUUGAAAGGCGGCCAUCAUCAUGGAGGGAUUGAAUGAUUAUAAAAGAACAUCAGACGUCAAUUUUUGGGGAGAUCAGACGCAACAUCAGAGACGCACGAACAGAUCAUCUUGGACGGUUUUGAGAGCAGUUUUUACAAGAAUUAAGAGCAGGGAAUCGUUGGAGUAAAGCGGGAAGCACGCGAAACGAAGAUUAACGGCUAUGGGAAUUUAACUUGGUGCAUAUGCGUGCUAAUGUUUGAAUUGAUCAUGCUACACUUAGGCGGACUUGGGCCUUAGUGACUUAAAAGACAGUUUAAUUAUGUUAUGUUUUCGUUAAUGCAAAGACAAUGUAAACAAUUUACUUAAUAAUAAAAAACUUGAAUUACCAUGUUU